rnacentral:lncRNA from 1 species
AAUCCUGCCACUAGUAGCUUGGCUAGCUCUUUUUUGAUUAGUUCUCGUCUGUCUUGAGCGAACCUGCGGUGUCGCUGCCGUUUUGGAGUAGCUUUGGGAUCAACAUUUAGAGAGUGCUCGAUCAGCUCCUUGGGCACACCGGGCAUGUCAGCUGGUUUUGAAGCGAAGAUAUCGUGGUUUGCCCGAAGGAAACUGACGAGCGCGGAUUCCU